AUUGAACGCUGGCGGCAUGCCUUACACAUGCAAGUCGAACGGUAACAGGUCUUCGGCUGCUGCCGAGUGGCGAACGGGUGAGUAAUACAUCGGAACGUGCCCGAUCGUGGGGGAUAACGAGGCGAAAGCUUUGCUAAUACCGCAUACGAUCUACGGAUGAAAGCGGGGGAUCUUCGGACCUCGCGCGGACGGAGCGGCCGAUGGCAGAUUAGGUAGUUGGUGGGAUAAAAGCUUACCAAGCCGACGAUCUGUAGCUGGUCUGAGAGGAUGAUCAGCCACACUGGGACUGAGACACGGCCCAGACUCCUACGGGAGGCAGCAGUGGGGAAUUUUGGACAAUGGGCGAAAGCCUGAUCCAGCCAUGCCGCGUGCAGGAUGAAGGCCUUCGGGUUGUAAACUGCUUUUGUACGGAACGAAAAGCCUCUUUCUAAUAAAGAGGGGUCAUGACGGUACCGUAAGAAUAAGCACCGGCUAACUACGUG
rnacentral:rRNA from 1 species